CAGCCGCCACGGGAAUACGUAGGUGGCAAGCGUUGUCCGGAAUGACUGGGCGUAAAGGGCGCGUAGGUGGUGUGGACAGUCAGAUGUGAAAUUCCUGGGCUCAACCUGGGGGCUGCAUUUGAUACGUCCAAACUAGAGUGUGGAAGAGGGUCGUGGAAUUCCCAGUGUAGAGGUGAAAUUCGUAGAUAUUGGGAAGAACACCGGUGGCGAAGGCGGCGACCUGGUCCAUUACUGACGCUGAGGCGCGAAAGCGUGGGGAGCAAACAGGAUUAGAUACCCGGGUAGUCCCUGUCUCUUAUAC
rnacentral:rRNA from 1 species